AUUGAACGCUGGCGGCAGGCCUAACACAUGCAAGUCGAACGGAGCGGCGGACGGGUGAGUAAUGCCUAGGAAUCUGCCUGGUAGUGGGGGAUAACGUCCGGAAACGGGCGCUAAUACCGCAUCCUAUCAGAUGAGACUAGGUCGGAUUAGCUAGUGGGGGGGGUAAAGGCCUACAAAGGCGACGAUCCGGAACUGGUCGGAGAGGAUGAGCAGUCACACUGGAAAUGAGACACGGUCCAGACUCCUACGGGAGGCAGCAGUGGGGAAUAUUGGACAAUGGGCGAAAGUCUGAUCAAGCCAUGCCGCGUGUGUGAAGAAGGUCUUCGGAUUUUAAAGCACUUUAAGUUGGGAGGCGGUACCAACAGAAUAAGCACCGGCUAACUUCGUGCCAGCCGCCGCGGUAAUAC
rnacentral:rRNA from 1 species